CGCUGAUGGAAACCUGAAUGGGAGCCGAGGUGAAGUCCUGUUCCUUCUCACCAGCCUGCAGCUGGACCAGCACCUGGUGGAGCUGAGGAGAGAGGACAGUUAUCCUCCUCACUGUGGGACAGGGUGGUACCAUCAGCACCACUUCAUCCUCUUGUUGUGGUACCAUGGAGGGCACUGAGCUUCAGAGAAGGCACAUUCCUUUCCAAGAGGCCCAGUGAUGGAGAUUGAGGCCUGGGAACCUGAAGAAGAGGAGGAGGCACCUGUGAGAACUGGACCCAGCCAGCUCAGGCAGUGCAGGAAGAGUUUGGAGAUGCCAAAUGAAGAAGAAGCCCUGAAUUUGAUGGGAGAUUCUGGUCAGAGCUCCAAAGACCAGAAUGUUGACUGCAAUGCAGCAGGAAGAGACCAGGGGUGAAGAGGUUUCAAUUGGGAAGAAGUGGCAGUUGGACUCCUG
rnacentral:lncRNA from 1 species